rnacentral:lncRNA from 1 species
GUACAGCCUCCCACAUUGGUGCCACAUGGGAACAUAUCCUGCACCUUCUGAGGAUGAUCCAUGAAGAGGAUGACAUGUUGGUGAUAUGUCAUGGUGACAGAGCAAGUUCUGGAGAUAAUUGGCCACCUCUUCUUUCUCAUGGCACCAGGCAAACUCAGAAACCAAGUGAACGAGUUAAUCCGAUGGUUAAUGACUUUGAUAUCUGCAAAAGUGAAGCCUUGCUACAUUUCUCAGCUGAGUGAAAAUGUCAACAACUCAGAUCCUUACUCCAUACAGAACCACAGCCCCGCCCUGAGGACUUUCUACUUCCUGACCAAGUUAUACAGUGAUCAGGUGGUAUUCCUAAUACGAAAGACCAUGGAAUCCAAUGAUCCAAUCAAGAUAGUACCAGCCCUUCAAGUCUUCAUGGAUGUGUUCCAGGAUGUGUCCCAGACAGAGAAUCUGAAGAGUGAGGUGAUGCACUCAGUCGUUGCCGUGAUUCAGGAGGAUCUCAAACCAGUGAGCAGAAAGGCGGAAUGUUUGGGUUGGGAGGGCCAUUGCUUUCUUGAGACCUUGAGGUCACGGAAAAUGGAAAAGGAGAGGCUGUUGGGGGAUGAGGAGAGAGAUAAGGCACACUUCACAAGCCAGUUCUGGCCUCAGACCACUGCCCAUGGGUUACAUUUGGGCUCUUCGAAGCCUGAGAAGGGUUUGGGAAGUAGGCAGGUGGUUCCUCCCUACUUUCAGAGUCUUUUCUGUGGGCGGCACUGUCUUAUGCCUGGUGGGGACAUGGAGCUCUAAGAGAUACUAAUUCUGCCUCCUGAGAAUUCACGACUUGCUUGCAGAGAGAAGAUCUCAAAGAUCCUCUCUGCAUGGGGUCUGAGAAGCCAUGUCUUUAACGAGCUCUGCAGGCAGGGUUGGAGGCAGCAGAGACUGCUUCCAGCUUUGGAUUGUGCAGGACAGGGGAGCAAGGGGGCAGUGGUU